UUUUGGUUAUUUAACAAUUUUGUUAAAUAUUAAAAUGGAAUUAGGUGUAAAUCCUAAACGGUCCGGCCACUGUAAGUAGGUAGUAUUCUUUUCAAACCACUGGGAAACUGGGAAGGGAAAAGAAAUGCGAUGACCUAUAAGUCAGGAGACAUGCCACAAUCUU
rnacentral:ncRNA from 1 species